GUUCGUGCUGUCGCUGGCAUUUUGUUUUCUGUCCGGAUUGACAUCCGCUGUAUUAACAACGGCCCAUGAUGCUCUUCACCGCUGUGACGUAUCUGUACUGUUCCCGCAGGCACCGUGGAUACAAACACCGUGAACGCAUCGGGAACCUAUGAAAAUCUCUCAAGGGAUGAACAGGGCGCAAGGAACGAUGCACAAGAUGGAAACUCCACUUACACGGGACUUGUCCUGGAGGACCGAUCUGUUUACAGUGAUCUGAAGAGAUGACGUCACUGGUGAAGAGAAGAGGAUGGUUGGCCCGUGAAUUGACACAGAGGAAGGACAACCAUCGAGGGAAAAGCCACCGUUCAGAAUGUCCUUCAUUGUUUCUUCAUGGUUGUUCUCUAUGUCUCCGUUAGAUCUUUUCUGCGUUUCACAUCCUCAGGACGAAGUCAUCACUGAAGGUUUUGACUCGUUUGUAUCACAGCAGCUUAGUUCCCUCACCUCAGCCCAGACUCCUAUGUCCCAUAAUUGACACCUUCACUCUGCCGCCGACAUUUGUCCUCUCAACGUUACACUGUGAUAUAAUCUAUAUACCGUUUUGACCCACGUCAUAGUCCGAUAGUUUUCUGACUACUUGUUACGCUCAAGAACAUGAAAUAUCGUAGCGCUUCACGCUCAACCCACAGAUUAGCUUCGUUAUUCACUUAGCGUGAGGCCGGAGUCGCGGCACAAGCGGCCAAGUGGUUUUAAUUCCAUUAAUUGCACCCUUUAAGAAGAGAUAUAUUGGGAAGGGUGUCCCGGCUAUUGCAGAGAGAUCUAGCAGAAAGACCCCGGGAAUGAGGGAGCUCCCGUGAGAGGAGCGCCUGUCUACCACUCCCCUCAAUGUUUUGAGGAGUUUGUUUAGGUGCGUUGCCAACAGUCGGGCAUUCUCGGGCCGAGAACCCUUCCUUCCAAAUUUUUAAGUGGAUUCGAGUUGGCGGAUUGAUUUUUUUCCUAAGGAAGAUGUAUCGUUGUACAGCUCCGGGGUUAUGCGCCCAAUGUUGUUGUUAUUCUUUUGCUUGUUUGUUUGAUUUUCAGUUAGUAGUUUUUUUUUGUUAU